UACAGAGGGUGCAAGCGUUAAUCGGAAUUACUGGGCGUAAAGCGUGCGCAGGCGGUUCGUUGUGUCGGCGGUGAAAGCCCCGGGCUUAACCUGGGAAUGGCCGUUGAAACUGGCGAACUGGAGUGUGGCAGAGGGGGUGGAAUUCCGCGUGUAGCAGUGAAAUGCGUAGAGAUGCGGAGGAACACCGAUGGCGAAGGCAGCCCCCUGGGCUAACACUGACGCUCAGGCACGAAAGCGUGGGGAGCAAACAGG
rnacentral:rRNA from 1 species